GCUGGAGCCGGAUCCCGAUCCCGAGUCCGAGCCGCCGCCGCCGCCAUGAGCUGCCCCGUCCCCGCCUGCUGCGCGCUGCUGCUAGUCCUGGGGCUCUGCCGGGCGCGUCCCCGGAACGCACUGCUGCUCCUCGCGGAUGACGGAGGCUUUGAGAGUGGCGCGUACAACAACAGCGCCGUCGCCACCCCGCACCUGGACGCCCUGGCCCGCCGCAGCCUCCUCUUCCGCAAUGCCUUCACCUCGGUCAGCAGCUGCUCUCCCAGCCGUGCCAGCCUCCUCACUGGCCUGCCCCAGCAUCAGAAUGGGAUGUACGGGCUGCACCAGGACGUGCACCACUUCAACUCCUUCGACAAGGUGCGGAGCCUGCCGCUGCUGCUCAGCCAAGCUGGUGUGCGCACAGGCAUCAUCGGGAAGAAGCAUGUGGGGCCGGAGACCGUGUACCCGUUUGACUUUGCGUACACGGAGGAGAACGGCUCCAUCCUCCAGGUGGGGCGGAACAUCACUAGAAUUAAGCUGCUCGUCCGGAAAUUCCUGCAGACUCAGGAUGACCGGCCUUUCUUCCUCUACGUCGCCUUCCACGACCCCCACCGCUGUGGGCACUCCCAGCCCCAGUAUGGAACCUUCUGUGAGAAGUUUGGCAACGGAGGGAGCGGCAUGGGUCGUAUCCCAGACUGGACCCCCCAGGCCUACGACCCACUGGACGUGCUGGUGCCUUACUUCGUCCCCAACACCCCGGCAGCCCGAGCCGACCUGGCCGCUCAGUACACCACCGUCGGCCGCAUGGACCAAGGAGUUGGACUGGUGCUCCAGGAGCUGCGUGACGCCGGUGUCCUGAACGACACACUGGUGAUCUUCACGUCCGACAACGGGAUCCCCUUCCCCAGCGGCAGGACCAACCUGUACUGGCCAGGCACUGCUGAACCCUUACUGGUGUCAUCCCCGGAGCACCCAAAACGCUGGGGCCAAGUCAGUGAGGCCUACGUGAGCCUCCUAGACCUCACGCCCACCAUCUUGGAUUGGUUCUCGAUCCCGUACCCCAGCUAUGCCAUCUUUGGCUCGAAGACCAUCCACCUCACUGGCCGGUCCCUCCUGCCGGCGCUGGAGGCCGAGCCCCUCUGGGCCACCGUCUUUGGCAGCCAGAGCCACCACGAGGUCACCAUGUCCUACCCCAUGCGCUCCGUGCAGCACCGGCACUUCCGCCUCGUGCACAACCUCAACUUCAAGAUGCCCUUUCCCAUCGACCAGGACUUCUACGUCUCACCCACCUUCCAGGACCUCCUGAACCGCACCACAGCUGGUCAGCCCACGGGCUGGUACAAGGACCUCCGUCAUUACUACUACCGGGCGCGCUGGGAGCUCUACGACCGGAGCCGGGACCCCCACGAGACCCAGAACCUGGCCGCCGACCCGCGCUUUGCUCAGCUUCUGGAGAUGCUUCGGGACCAGCUGGCCAAGUGGCAGUGGGAGACCCACGACCCCUGGGUGUGCGCCCCCGACGGCGUCCUGGAGGAGAAGCUCUCUCCCCAGUGCCAGCCCCUCCACAAUGAGCUGUGACCAUCCCAGGAGGCCUGUGCACACAUCCCAGGCAUGUCCCAGACACAUCCCACACGUGUCCGUGUGGCCGGCCAGCCUGGGGAGUAGUGGCAACAGCCCUUCCAUCCACACUCCCAUCCAAGGAGGGUUCUUCCUUCCUGUGGGGUCACUCUUGCCAUUGCCUGGAGGGGGACCAGAGCAUGUGACCAGAGCAUGUGCCCAGCCCCUCCACCACCAGGGGCACUGCCGUCAUGGCAGGGGACACAGUUGUCCUUGUGUCUGAACCAUGUCCCAGCCCGGGAAUUCUAGACAUACGUGGUCUGCGGACAGGGCAGCGCCCCCAGCCCAUGACAAGGGAGUCUUGUUUUCUGGCUUGGUUUGGGGACCUGCAAAUGGGAGGCCUGAGGCCCUCUUCAGGCUUUGGCAGCCACAGAUACUUCUGAACCCUUCACAGAGAGCAGGCAGGGGCUUCGGUGCCGCGUGGGCAGUACGCAGGUCCCACCCACACUCACCUGGGAGCACGGCGCCUGGCUCUUACCAGCGUCUGGCCUAGAGGAAGCCUUUGAGCGACCUUUGGGCAGGUUUCUGCUUCUGUUUUGCCCCACGGUCAAGUCCCUGUUCCCCAGGCAGGUUUCAGCUGACUGGCAGCAGGCUCCCUGAGUGAUGAGCUUGAACCUGUGGUGUUUCUGGGCGGAAGCUUAUCUUUUUUGAGAGUGUCUGAAGAUGAAGGCAUGGCGAUGCCCAUCCUCUGGCUUGGGUUAAUUCUUCAGUGACACUGGCAUUGCUGGGUGGUGAUGCCCGUCCUCUGGCUUGGGUUAAUUCUUUGGUGACACUGGCAUUGCUGGGUGGCGAUGCCCAUCCUCUGGCUUGGGUUAAUUCUUGGAUGACGUCGGCGUUGCUGGGAGAAUGUGCCGUUCCUGCCCUGCCUCCACCCACCUCGGGAGCAGAAGCCAGGCCUGGACACCCCUUGAAGGAGAGGGCGCUUCCUUGAGUAGUGACUAGGCUACUUUUGCCCACUGUAAAAGGCACCGUCAUCCUGGUAUCAAGAUUCUGGAGAGGCCAGAUUUGAAAUCAAGUUUGUUUGAGACGUGGAUGACGAUGGGGAAGAUGUCCAUCCUGUGUAGGGUGCAGACACUGUCCAGCUGGACGUCCAGGAGGGCAUGGGUGUUCUUUGUGGGAGGGAGAGGAGAAGUGAGUCAAGAUCACAGGCCUCAGAGGAAGCAAAGGGAGCCAACGCCCAGGUCAGAAGGGCCCUCCGGACAGGCUGAGGGCAGGGCAGGAGCUGGGCAGAGCUGAAUUUUAUAGAGGAGAUGAGGGAAGAGAGCUUGCCACUUUCUUCUCUCUUUUUUUAAUUUUUAUUUUUUAUUUUUUUGAGACGGAGUCUCGCUCUGUUGCCCAGGCUGGAGUGCAGUGGCGCGAUCUUGGCUCACUGCAAGCUCUGCCUCCCGGGUUCAUGCCAUUCUCCUGUCUCAGCCUCCCGAGUAGCUGGAACUACAGGCGCCCACCACCACGCCUGGCUAAUUUUUUCUGUUUUUAGUAGAGACGGGGUUUCACCGUGUUAGCCAGGAUGGUCUUGAUCUCCUGACCUCAGGUGAUCUGCCUGCCUCGGCCUCCCAAAGUGCUGGGAUUAGAGGCGUGAGCCACCGCACCCGGCCCACUUUUAAUUUUUUUAGCUUUUAAAUGUUUUGUAGAGACGGGUGUCUCACUGUGUUGCUCAGGCUGGUCUCAAAUUCCUGGGCUCAAGUGAUCCUCCCACCUCGGGUUCCCAAAGUGCUGGGAUGACAGGCGUGAGCCCCAGGCCCAGCUGAGUUUGCCACUUUCUAAAUGAGGCUGUGUGCUGUGCAGUAUUAAGAGUUUCCAUCCCUUUGAUUUUUCACUGGGAAAAUCUAGAAAUUGUGAGCUCUGGGGAUGAGGUGAACUUGGCAUGGAGCUCCGCCAGCCCCUACAGGAGGCACCCAGAUGCCAGACUCUGCUUCCCAUGCCUGUGCAGACACAAAGCUGUGGUUCACGGGGAGCUGCUUUUCACGCGUUUGCGCCUUCAAACGUGGGGAGUGUUGUUAGCUCGGAUUUAUUCAUUCUCGAACAAAUAUCUAUUAAACAUCCCCCAAGCUGAGGAAACUGAGAUUCAAGGAGUUGGGAGACCUCACCCACAGUCACGUGGAUCCUAACUGGCUGAGAUGAGUUUUGGGCUCCUGCUGGGCUGUUGGGACCCAGAGGUCCGCGACAAGGUCAUCCAGGUCUCAGGUUGGUCCCUGUACCUUUAUCUCAUCCCCCUCCUCUGCAUUCCCGAAACCCUUCCCAGGACAGCUCCCCUGCCCACCCCGCCCUUGCCCUCACUUUUUCCAUGAGGGACUCCACAGCAUGGCGGGUCACCCAGCAGCGGCCCCCGGACACCUCUCCCUCCUGGAUGAUGUCCCCUCUCUGGCUCCAGGCCUCAUACUCCUCCUGGCUCAAGUACUCUGCAGGUGACAUUGGACGGGGCCAUCAUAUACCAGCUGUGUGGGGGUCUGGGGGAGUCCCAUGGUAAACACCCCUGUCCCCGUGAACCCCGCCAGCACUGGGAGGAGCUCUUCUUAGGGUGUCCACUUUACAAACCUGACCCUGCACGCCCCGCUCUGUGCCCUGCACCUCCAUCCUGAACUAUCUGGACACAGCAGGUGAGUGUGGGAAUGUGCGUGGUGGGGGAGGGAAGGAGGAGGGAGGAAGGGGAGGAGGGAGGGAGGGAAGGUGGGAGGGGUAGAGGGAUUCCCAGGCAACAGCAUACCUGCCAGGCACUUCUUAAACCCUUGGAGGAGGCACAGUUUCUCCCUCAGGAUCUUCCCAACCGCCCUGGGCACGAAGAGCACAGGCCGGGGCCGGGCGGGUCGAUGGGGCCGCACCAGGGUAUAGGGCACCAGGGUGAGGCAGCUCUCGGCCCAGAAGCACGUGCUGGAGCCUGUGGAGGAGAGGAUCCUGAGGGCUGGAGUGCAAUGGCGACAUCUCAGCUCACUGCCACUUCUGCCUCCCGGGUUCAGGCGAUUUUCCUGCCUCAGCCUCCCGAGUAUCUGGGAUUACAGGUGUGCGCCACCACACCCAGCCCCAUGAUUCUUGAAGACCAGAUCCUGGCCUAAAUGAGUGGCAUCCCCCUGCCCCAGCUGACCAACUAGCAGCAGCUCCCAAAGCCCCUCACCCGCUUGGAGCCAGCGGCCCCUGUGCCAGCUCACCAGGCCUCACCCUCCAUCCUGCUGGGGUCCAACUGGCCCCUGUCAAAGGACAAACGCAGAGGGCUGGCCUUGGCUUUGUCCAUACUGACGAUGCGGACCAGCUUCUGUGGUCCCCCAGAAGAUGGCUAAAGGAGGGACGGAGAAAGGAUGAGGAGGAGCUGUUGAAGCCAUCAACAGGAAUGGGAAUUCAGGGGAGAUGAUUGGCACUAGGGCGACCUGGGAGUGAUGCAGAGGCGCAGAUGCUCUGAGAACAGCCUGAGGUGUGUCUGCACUUGUGCAAGAGCCUGCAGGCUGGGCAGGGGCUGCAGACCCUGCCCUGGUUUGAAGGGGCGCAGAGGAGAGACAGGUGGGGUUACCGUCCAAUCAGCAGCCCACUCUCCACACAGUGCCUCCUGCCACCCUGCCAGCACCGAGCCCCUCUUCCAGCCCACCCCAGUGGGGUCCAGGCCCCUCCCUGGAGCCUCACCUUGCGGGUCACGGUGCACUGCUGAGUCAUGUCCUGGAUGAGGGCUAUGAGCUGCUGCUGAGCCCUGCAGAGACCAGCAGAGGCCCUGACCCAGCUGCCUCCUGCCAGACAGGCAGCAGAAGCCGUCCACCCUCCUGAGAAGCCCCACGGCCUCCUCCAGGGUCGUGUCCUCCAGGACUGCCUUGAACAAGGGCUCUGAGGCUUCGUAAUCAACCUGAGGGCAAGUCGAGAAGUGACCGCCCAGAGCAGCCCUGUCAAGGGGCCUCAUGCAAAGACCCCGGUCAGAAGCGCCGCAUGGCAGCAGCCACCACGGGUGACAUGCUGGGUUCUGCACGGCACGACUCUCAUCUAUAAAUGAGCAGAACGCUUUACGUCAGCCCAGGAAAGAGCAGGGGCCCAGCCCAGAGUGGAUCUGCAUCGUCUGGGGGAGGUGAAGUCUGCCUGGGUCACCCCACCCGCUGCCACUGUCCCCAUGAGGAGCCCGGGGGACAGGAGGGGCCUCGCACGGCUCACCAUCACGAUCUGGGUGCCCGGGCGCAAGGCCAUCUGGUCCGCCGCCGAGCCCGGGGUGACCCGGUGGAUGAAGAUGCCCGUGAGGUUCCCGCCGAUGACGCUGAUCUGCUCCAGCAAUGCAUCCCCCUGGAACGCCAGCAUGGUGACCUGGCUCAGGAUCCUGCGGGCUGGCCUCCGCCGCAUGAGGACGCCGCUGCAGGCCGGGAGACGACCGACUUGUGCACUGCCCAGAGCGGGAGAGCCGGCAAGGCCACCUCCCCAUUGCUUCCCUCUGGCCCCAGUGUUCUGGAAUUCUCCUCCCCCUCCAUGGCCCCAUGUGCUUGGAAAGGCUGUUGCCUCCCAUUGGUAAUAGGACACUCACCCUCUGCUCUCCCACUCCCUGGCCCUGGUUCCCCAGCCAGCCUCGGAGGAUUCCCACCUGCUGCUUACCUCUCCGAGACAUCAAGGCUUCCAGGGGAGACUGGCUGCAGGCUGCUUUCCAGCUGCGGAAGGUCUGGGAGGAAGCCAAGAGCUCACAGAUCUUGGUCACCCCACUGCUGAUGGGGCGUCCUGUAACCUCCUGUAACCUCAGCCCCUUCUCCCUCAGCCUCAGGCCCCACUGCCUGUUCCAUCCUUUGUGCUGAGGCUGAACUUUCUCUUCCUCCACCCCUUCCUCAAUGCUUGGGACCCUAAUUUCAUCUUUCCUACAAUCACUGUAACUAGUUAGGAGCUGCAAGUGGGAGGGUCUGACCACCACAUGCUAUUUUGUGAUAUUUGAAUGAGUUGCCAACAUUUGAAAGACAGGGAGGUUUCACCUAAAAUCUGGAUUUCUGGCUUCACUUGAAAAAAUAUCUGCUGUAACCCUGGGGCUGCAUUUCCGCACUGAUCUGUAUUUCUGCAUGGACCUGCAUUUCAGGACUGGCCUGCAUUACUGCAUUGACCUCCAUGUCUGCAUGGGCCUGCACUGCACUGGCCUGUCUUUCUUUCUCUCUCUUUCUUUCUUUCUUUCUUUCUUUCUUUCUUUCUUUCUUUCUUUCUUUCUUUCUUUCUUUCUCUCUCUCUCUCUCUUUCUCUCUCUCUUUCUUUCUUUCUUUUCGAGACAGAGUCUCACUGUGUCGCCCAGGCUGGAGUACAGUGCUGUGAUCUCAGCUCACUGCAACCUCCGCCUCCCGCGUUCAAGCAAUUCUUCUGCCUCAGCCUCCUGAGUAGCUGGGACUAGAGGCAUGCGCCACCACGCCCAGAUAAUUUUUGUAUUUUUAGUAGAUACGGGAGUUCACCAUGUUGACCAGGCUGGUCUCGAACUCCUGACCUCAUGAUCCACCCACUUUGGCCUCCCAAAGUGCUGGGAUUACAGGCGUGAGCCACCACACCCGGCCCUGGCCUGCCUUUCUACAUGGAUCUGCAUUUCUUUUGUUGUUGUUGUUAUUGUUGUUGAGACGGAGUCUCGCUCUGUCGCCAGGCUGGAGUGCAGUGGUGCGAUCUUGGCUCACUGCAACCUCCGCCUCCCAGGUUCAAGUGAUUCUCCCGCCUCAGCCUCCUGAGUAACUGGGACUACAGGUGUGUGCCACCAUGCCCAGCUGACUUUUGUAUUUUUAGUAGAGACGAGGUUUUACCAUGUUGGCCAGGAUGGUCUUGAUCUCUUGACCUCAUGAUCCGCCCACCUUGACCUCCCAAACAUGGACCUGCAUUUCUACCCAGACCUGCACUACUGUAGUACACGGCAUUUCCACGCUGCCCUGCAUUUCCACACUGGCCUGCAUUUCUGUGUGGCCGCAAUCACUGGCACUGGCCAGCGGCUGCCUGCUCCUUACCCCAGACUCCUCUGCUUCCCAGCUGGUGGUGGCAGGUCUCUGAGUUGUCAAUCCUAGGACUAGAGGCUCCCCAGGGUCUCCCAAGCUCUAGCAUUUUACUGUACAGCCUGUGAGCCCCCGAACCAGGGAGCAGCCUGCCAGGGUCCACGGCUGCAAGUCUCACUCUGUGAACCACACAGCAGAGCCAGGGCCAGCAGAGACCUGAGAGUUCCCUAGGCCUGGCUCACAGGCAAAAACCCAUUGGGAUCACAUUCAAAGCCAAUGAAAUGAGGUGUGUACUCUGGAUGUAUUUGAGGUCAAUUCCACUAAAAGUAUAUGCAACCAGGGCAUUACGCAGAAUCCUCACAGAGGAAAAAUAAAGAGGAAUAAGCCCCCCUUCUCAUCUCACAUCUAAUUUAGAUAUGCCUUGGGUGGUCUCUCUUGAUUUAUCACUAUUAUAAAUAAAAACGUGUAUGAGUCCCC